UCCGACGUACGUGGCGGAAAUCGGGAACAGGCCCCACGGCCCGGAGAAUUUCUUUCCCAAAACCCUGACCUUCCCCAAUCCUCCGCCGCCGCCGCCGCCGCCGGAGAUGGACUUCCAGGUCGUCGUCCUCGCCGGGGGCACCUCCGAGAAGCUCUCUCCCCUCGUCUCCAAGGAUGUCCCCAAGGCACUCCUCCCCGUCGCCAACCGCCCCGUGCUCUCCUACGUGCUCGACCUCCUCGAGGCCAGCGACCUCAAGGACAUCAUCGUGGUGGUGGAGGGGCAGGAGGCAGCGCGCCUCGUCGGAGCCUGGGCCACGAGCGCGUACCUGGAUCGCCUUCUCGUAGAGGUUGUGGCAGUUCCAGAGGACAUUGGAACAGCAGGUGCAUUACGGGCUAUUUCAAAGCGGCUGACUGCAAAUGAUGUUUUGGUGAUUAGCGGAGACCUGGUAACUGAUGUACUUCCUGGGGCUGUUGCUGCUACUCACAGAAGAAAUGGUGCUGCUGUUACUGCUUUAUUAUGUUCUGUUCCUGUCAGUGGUCCUUCAGAUGCUGCUUCCUCUGGAGGGAAAGAUAAAGCUAAAAAACCAACUCGACUGAACAUAGUUGGGCUAGACAUCACAAGGCAAUUCUUGUUGCAUAUUGUAUCAGGAACUGAUGUUGAAAAAGAUGUUCGUGUUUACAAGCGAAAAAUUCGAGCUGUAGGUGAGAUGGAAAUCCGAAGUGAUUUGAUGGAUGCACAUUUGUAUGCUUUUAAGAGGACAACGUUGCAGCAUGUACUGGAAGAGAAAGACGCAUACCGUAGCAUUAGACUUGAAGUCCUCCCAUACUUAGUUAGGAAUCAGUUGAGAUCAUCGCCAUCAGGUGGUGAGGGAACAGUCAUCGAUGAAACUGGCGAUGCUGCAGUUCCAUCCAACAAUCAUUUACAGUGUCUAUCACAGCAUCGCAUACUUGCUCCAUCUGCUUUCAAGAAAGAUUUGUUAUCAGCUGGAGGAACAUAUAGGUGCUGUGUUUAUAUUGCUAGUAAAAACAAGUAUUGCCAUCGGUUGGACUCCAUUCAGGCAUACUGUGAUAUUAAUCGAGAUGUUGUAGGGGAUGCUAGUCACUUGUCUGGUUAUUCCUUUUCUGCACAAAACAACAUCAUCCAUCCAACUUCUGUGCUUGGGUCGAAGACUACAAUCGGACCACAAUGCAUGCUUGCUGAGGGUUCACAGUUAGGUGACAAGUGUAGUGUCAAGCGAUCUGUGAUUGGUCGGCAUUGUCGAAUUGGUUCAAAUGUAAAGAUUGUCAAUUCUGUCGUGAUGAACCAUGUGGUUAUUGAAGAUGGAUGUCACAUCCAAGGUUCUGUGGUAUGCAAUAAUGUGCAGCUUCAAGAACGCGCUAUUUUGAAAGAUUGUCAGGUUGGAGCUGGUUAUAUUGUAACGGCUGGUAGUGAAUACAAAGCAGAAUCUCUCAGCAAGAAAGUAGAGCGAUUUUGAUACUUCUGGUUGAAUCUUGAACGAUGUUGUUUGCUGAGUCAGAUACAUCCGUACAACAGGAGGAUCAAACUGACUGGCUUUUGGAACCGCAACCUGGAAUUUUUCCAGAUGAUUACACUUGCAAAAUGGAGAUUUGGGAGGAGUGGCAGGAAAGGAUUAUCAGAAAUCUUCUUUUUAUCGGCAUGGAACAUUUGGAAGCAGAGAAACAAGCUUAUUUUUGAUGAUAUCAAUCCAUCGUUUCACUUACGGAAGAACCUAUUUGCCAGAGAGCUUCUUGCACAUAUGUGUAGAAUGAAGGAUCCCAAAAUAGUCUAUUUUUGAUUGGUUACAAACUUUAUAGUUUUAUUC